CUCAGCUACAAGAUUAUGUGCUGACUGAACUUGAUUGCUCAGCUGUGUAUCUUUGUUGACAACUGAGGCUGUAAACUAUCUGUUCCCCCACCCUUCAGUACAGCCUCAGUCCUGUAACUUGGGAAACGCCCCAAACUUAAUAAAACCGAGGAGAACGUUGAGACCGGCAGAGUGGGUUGGAGAUUGUAACUGUGCGGUCUCUUCCUACUCUCUUCGAGAAUGAAACUAAACUAAUUGUCUGUGUGCCUUUCUUUCCUUGUUUGUAUGAUGUUCUAGGUGCUUAGACCUGACAUUAACUUGGUCCUUCGAGCCGGAUACCAACAUACCUGAAAUUACUGGUGGACGCGGGUGAAAUCCAGAAAGACUGUGGCCACAGCAGGACUGAAGAGUCCUUCAGACCCUUUAACGGGACUGGGUUUCCCCCCGUCCCCUAGGAUUCUGAAGGUUGACGGUGAUCCGAGGGAUUAAGGCACAAAGGAGGACAGCGGAGUCCUGUAAAUUUCAUCAGAUGCCAGUGCCAGAUUGUCUCAAGCCACCUGUAGGAGCAUUCCAGCGUUCUUUAAACUGCCUGCCUUUUACCUGACCUGACCUGAUUCUGCCUUCAGUUACCGAGCCUGCCCUUCCUUGUUCUGAUUCUGCCUGUCUGCCUGGAGAUCUGACCCCUGCCUGUGAGUACUGGAUUCUGCCUAACCCUUGUGAUUCUUUUGAGCCCCUGUUAUCGGACCUGGAAUGGAUGUGAACCCCUCCUUUCGGAUUUUCCUAUUUUUCCUGCUGCUGGAUAACUGCCUGUCUGUGAUCGGACCCGGACCCCUCUGGAUAACACCCCUGGAAGCCCCUAAACGGAUUGUCUGCCCUCCUGUGGUCGCUCUACGGCACGGACCGCGGAACCGCUUCAGCCCUGAAACCCCGGCCCGAAGCUAGAUCCCAGGCUCCGGAGUCACGCUACUAGGUUAGUGAUCCAGCUUCUCUCACUCUUGCCCGUUACCACCAGCUGAUCACUAACCUGUUGUCUCUGCUGCAGGGAAGUUUCCAGUCUAAGAGCGAACAGCGAGUCCUGAAUGCCUGCGUCGGCUUACCUUUUAAUAAACUUGUUAAAAACGACACUGACCUGUCUGGUUUUAAUUCUGGGUCCAGUUUGUACGUUAUAGUACAAUCUGGCCAGUAUGGAUCCAACACCGGACGGUCAGUGGCGCGCAGGAGUUGAAAAGUCAAUUUCUCAACUAGAAACCAGCGUUGCCGAAAUUCUCGCUUAUCUCCGCAGCCAGGCUGCUCCAGCCCCGUCACUUCUGCAAACAGCUGUCCCAGCCGUCGCGUCACAUACCAAGAUGUCAGCUCUGCCCAAACGGCGUCUUUUACCGCCUGAACGCUACAGCGGUGAUCCCGAGCAGUGCCAGGCGUUUCUCACACAGUGUGAGAUCAAGUUCGAGCUACAACCAUCUGCUUACCCACUGAUCGCUGUAAAGUGGAUUUUGUUAUUUCUCUGUUGGCAGGCAAGGCUAAAUUAUGGGCAGCCUCUGAGUGGCAAAAGAUUCCCCUAUCUGACACUUGUAUUAUGCUUUCUCUCAUGAGCUGCCCAGAGUAUUCAGCCCCGUGUUACCCUGCCGAGAGUCCUCAAGGGGGCUUUUAGCCCUCAGGCAGGGUGACAAGUCAGUUUCUCGGUUUAUUAUUGAUUUCCAUCUGUUGGCUGCAGAAAGUCCCUGGAAUGAACCGGCCCUGAUGGACGUUUUCAUUUCUGGUCUUAAUGAAAAAAUUAAGGAUGAGUUGUCCACACGGGAUUUUCCAAAAACCUUAAAACAACUGGAGGAACUGGCCACCCGGGUUGGCCAAGCACGACUGGAACCUGAGGCAGACAGGGCUGCCUCAGGUUCCAGUCGUUUAAAAUUACAUGUGGGUUGACACCACUUUAAACACACAAAAUGCUAUUUAACUGUCUGUGCUUCGCUGCACAGACAUGCUUAACCCCACCCCUCUCCAUGGUCUGUAUUGUUGGAAACUAGAGAUGCCCACUUUGAAUAGUCUUGUUACUGAGAAGUGCUUAAUAAAAAUACUUGACUUACCUUGCAUUUUAAACAAGGUAUGGCAUGUCUUUGUCUGAUCUGUGCA